GCGGGCGAUCGGAUGGCCGCGCUGCCGCGCAAGCGGCGGUGAGGAAAGUCCGGGCUCCACGGAGGCACGGUGCCGGGUAACACCCGGCGGGGGAGGGCUUCGGUCCGGAACCUCAGGGAAAGCGCCACAGAGAUCAGACCGCCGGGGCUUUGGUCCCGGCAAGGGUGAAACGGCGAGGUAAGAGCUCACCGCGCCCCCGGCAACGGGGGCGGCACGGCAAGCCCCACCGGGAGCAAGAUCAGAUAGGGACGACAGGGGCCAUCGCGCUCCGGGGCCGCCUCCGGUCCGUCGUCCGGGUAGAUCGCGCGAGGCCGCGGGCGACCGCGGUCCCAGAUGAAUGGCCAUCGCCGCAUGCUUCGGCGCGCGGCACAGAACCCGGCUUACAGAUCGCCCGCACCC
rnacentral:RNase_P_RNA from 1 species